rnacentral:rRNA from 1 species
GACAGAGGUGGCCAAGCGUUUAGGCGGAAUCACGUGGCUUAAAGCGUGUGUAGGCGGUAGUCGGUAAGUUACCAUUGUGAAAUCCCGACACGCUUAACUGUGGAACUGCUUGGUAUACUGCCGGUCUUGGAGCCAGCUAGGGGCUACCGGAACAAAUGGUGGAGACGGUGAAAUGCGUAGAUAUCAUUGGAACGCCAAUGGUGAAAACAGGUAGCUGGGGCUGUGCUGACGCUGAGACACGGAAAGCCAGGGGAGGCAAACGGG